rnacentral:rRNA from 1 species
GACGAACGCUGGCGGCGUGCUUACACAUGCAAGUCGAACGGUGAAAGCGGAGCUUGCUCCGCUGGAUCAGUGGCGAACGGGCGAGUAACACGUGGGCAACCUGCCCCUCACUUCGGGAUAACUCCGGGAAACCGGGGCUAAUACCGGAUAUGACCUCCUUGGGCAUCCUUGGAGGUGGAAAGUUUUUCGGUGAGGGAUGGGCCCGCGGCCUAUCAGCUUGUUGGUGAGGUAGUGGCUCACCAAGGCGACGACGGGUAGCCGGCCUGAGAGGGGGACCGGCCACACUGGGACUGAGACACGGCCCAGACUCCGACGGGAGGCAGCAGUGGGGAAUAUUGCGCAAUGGGCGAAAGCCUGACGCAGCAACGCCGCGUGCGGGAUGACGGCCUUCGGGUUGUAAACCGCUUUCAGCAGGGAAGAAGCCGCAAGGUGACGGUACCUGCAGAAGAAGCACCGGCUAACUACGUGCCAGCAGCCGCCGUAA